UACGUAGGGGGCGAGCGUUGUCCGGAAUCAUUGGGCGUAAAGCGCGUGUAGGCGGUUCGGUAAGUCUGCUGUGAAAGUCCAGGGCUCAACCCUGGGAUGCCGGUGGAUACUGUCGGACUAGAGUACGGAAGAGGCGAGUGGAAUUCCCGGUGUAGCGGUGAAAUGCGCAGAUAUCGGGAGGAACACCAAUUGCGAAGGCAGCUCGCUGGGACGUGACUGACGCUGAGACGCGAAAGCGUGGGGAGCAAACAGG
rnacentral:rRNA from 1 species